rnacentral:rRNA from 1 species
UACGAGAGGCCCAAACGUUAUUCGGAAUUACUGGGCUUAAAGAGUUCGUAGGCGGCGCAGAAAGUAGGGUGUGAAAGCCCUCGGCUCAACCGAGGAAUUGCGCUCUAAACUACUGUGCUUGAGGGACCUAGAGGUGAGCGGAACUGAUGGUGGAGCGGUGAAAUGCGUUGAUAUCAUCAGGAACACCGGAGGCGAAGGCGGCUCACUGGGGGUCUUCUGACGCUGAGGAACGAAAGCCGGGGGAGCGAACGGG